rnacentral:rRNA from 1 species
UACGAAGGGGGCUAGCGUUGUUCGGAAUUACUGGGCGUAAAGCGCGCGCAGGCGGCUAUCCAAGUCAGUGGUGAAAGCCCGGAGCUCAACUCCGGAACUGCCAUUGAAACUGUUUAGCUUGAGGACGAGAGAGGUGAGUGGAAUUCCCAGUGUAGAGGUGAAAUUCGUAGAUAUUGGGAAGAACACCGGUGGCGAAGGCGGCUCACUGGCUCGUAUCUGACGCUCAGGCGCGACAGCGUGGGGAUCGAACAGG